UCAAGUUAUUUAGAAGAGAGUUUAAUCAAAGAAAGGUUCAAAAUCAUAAGCAAAAGUAGUACAAGUCCAGUUUGUAGACUCAAAACGAGUCUGAGAGUCCAGGGUCCCAAAGUGGAACCCUAACUCGCACACAAGAAAUCAAAAUUGCAAAAAAUCCCCAAAUCCUAGGGUUUCGAAUUUAGUCAGACAAUAGAGAUGAGAAGGCAAGCCACUUGAGAAAGGCUCAGAAGUCUUCUCCAAAGACUUAUGAGAAACAAACAUACAUGAUAGAAAGAAAACUGAUUCAAGGUCAUGAGAACAUGUUUGAGAAAACUCGGAAUUUAAACAACUUCAUAAGAAAUAGAUGAUACGAGCUUAACAAAAGUAGAUAAAAUAUGCUUAGCAAGAACACAAAUAGAGUUCAUUAAAGUAAACAAAAAUCAAAGAACUCAACCGUAAACACAUAUAGCAAAGAAUAAGGAAAAUAACACGAAUUAACAUGUGAGUACAAGAAUAACAUGUAGAGUAGAAAAAGAAAAUAGAAGAACA
rnacentral:lncRNA from 1 species